GGAGUGAAACAUGGCCGCCCUCUCUGAGGGGAACCCGCCAACGCCCUCACCGUGAGGGGCUCAUGGCUGCCUUGCUGCCCCCGCAACCCUCCCCAGGCACCUUCUCCUCAGUCCCUAAGACCUCUCCCCCCCUAGAAACUGCUUCGAAUAAUUGGAAAUAACGGAGAAAAUUCCCUCCGGGGCGGGAAUGGAGCUGCACCGGCUCCGUUUGCAAUCGCGCAGGACUGCCGUGGGGGGAAGGCGGGAAGCGGUUUACCUCAGGGGCUGGAGGUGGCCAGAGGCAGCCCCGAGUACAUCUAGCCCAAGUUUUCCCUUUCCAGGGACAUAAAAACUUGAUGUAUUGCAGCACCAUCUGCUGGUUCCUAUUAGCGAGGGGUUGCUGCUUUAAAAAUGUUCCAUUCUCACAAAGCCUGGAAUUAUGCUCUCAAACCUACCACGGGUCAGCAGAACAGUGGAGACAUCUGAUGUAGCCACACCAGCAAAGUCAAAAGCAGACGUCAAAGAAACAAGGUUCCCUGUGAGAUCACACCCAAGGAGUUCCCAGUGAAGGCUGAUGUGGACACAGCAGCACACGCAGGCUGUGAUGAGGUGUGAUGCCACACCAAGGAGAGGGAGACUGGCACCCUCAGUCCUGCAGCCAUGGAUCAGGAGCUGUGGAACAAGCUCACCAGGAGGCAGUAAGGAAAGGAGGUGGAUUAGUGCCAACUCACCCUGUAUUUGCAGAUAUAUUCAGUUGUGCUUUCCUGAGACUGUGACCGAGUUCCCUUUUUCUAAUAUAAAUUUUUCUAACUCUUUCCAAAA